ensembl:lncRNA
GCGCAAUUUCCCAAGACAAGUCAUCAUUUAGACCCUCCGCCGUUUGCCUUUCAGAGGCCACACCGAGAUUAGGGUUUCUGAAAGGGACGGUGUCUUUGGGCUCCACACUUCUGCUGCUGAAGAUAGGAUGUCCUCUCUCAAAAUGGCGGAACGGAGCAGGCGGCCCUUUAUCACGUAGCGAAUGGACACCCGCUGCCCUCCCCAGGGAGAAGUACCCACUUUCUCGCUUCUGCACGUCGUCUCUUAACCCUGCAAGAAAAAGAGAAGUGUCACAGUGUGACUGGAAGGAGGAGGAGUUGGGGCUUCGUCCAUCCAGGCCCGAGGGCUGGGCCGAUGCGGUGGAGGGUCGAGCCGGGUCAUGAUGAGGUCGGCCGAACGCCCACGGAUUGGCGGGUAAUCGUCUUCUGUGCUGACAGAGCCGCUGAACUCUUGGUAGUGUCGACGGUCGUGACAGCUGGAUGACGAGAGCAGAGAUAUAAAGCUCACCACCGGGACUCAGGAUGCACAAAGAGCUCUCCCUAU